rnacentral:rRNA from 1 species
UAGGGAAUAUUGCGCAAUGGGCGAAAGCCUGACGCAGCGACACCGUGUGAAGGAUGAAGGUCUUAGGAUUGUAAACUUCUGUCAAUUGGGGACGAAGGUACCGGGGUUAAUAGCUUUCGGUAUUGACGGUACCCAAAAAGGAAGUCUCGGCUUACUCCGUGCCAGCAGCCGCGGUAAGACGGGGGAGGCAAGCGUUGUCCGGAAUUAUUGGGCGUAAAGAGCGCGUAGGUGGUUUAUCAAGUCAUUUGUGAAAACUUUAGGCUUAACUUAAAGACUGCAGGUGAUACUGAUUUACUUGAGCACAGCAGAGGAAAGUGGAAUUCCUGGUGUAGCGGUGAAAUGCGCAGAUAUCAGGAAGAACACCAGUGGCGAAAGCGGCUUUCUGGGCUGUUGCUGACACUGAGGCGCGAAAGCUAGGGGAGCGAACAGG